GAGCAGAGUGAGUAAUUCUCGCCCGGGAGCGUCUCCUCUUCCCGUGCGCAGAGUAGCCGAAGACUCCUCGCGGUUCAUUCAUGGGAGCCGCCCAGCCACUCGGUAACGAGCUGCCGAGAGCCGCUCCUGGCAGGGGGCUGCGCGACAGCACCCGCAGCCGGUGCCGACGGGCGAGCUUCCUGCCCCCCCUGCGCACCUCCACGCGUGGCACAGCUCCUGGCCAGCGCCUUCAUCCCGCGAGCAUCCUCAUCGCCACACCGCGAGGCGCCGGUGACGUCCCUGCGGGGAUUCGGGGAGGGGACGCAGCCGAAACUCGCGAGGUGCCGGCGCUGGAGUCGCCAAGAUGCCGUCGGCGGGGCGUGGGGCGCCUCGGGGGCUCUGUCCGGGGAACAGCUGCGUGCUCGUGGUCCUGAUCUGGUGCAGUCCCUGCGAGCUCAAUCCCAGCGCUGAGGCUCGGUGGAGGCGAAACCUCUCCUGCCUGGUCCUGUCCCUUGUGGGGGGCCGUAAUCGCCCUCCCCUCUCCCCCAGCUCUUCCCCCGAGCAGCUUGAUUUGCCGUACAGCCCCCCCGGCUCUGCCUCCUCUCGCCCCCCCAGCGUUCCCCUCGAUCCCUCCCGCUCUCAGGCCCCGAGUGCCUCCCCGCUGCGUGGCACCGGGCCUGCCCCCGCCGCCGGGGCACCGGCGCCUUCCUCGCCUCGUCCCUCGGCACGCUCACGGCUUGUGCGAGCGCCCGGCCGAGGGAGGAACCCAGCGGGCCUCAUUUCAAGGCCGUGUGCUCCGCCGGUCCCCGGGUGCUUGGUCCACGCCUGCUCCCGCCCGGGAUCGUGUCCCCGGCCCGCGCCGGGCCCCGGCUCUCAGCCCCGUGCUCUCCCUCCCCUGUCACGCCCGCUCGCUUGUCAAAAGCGAGAUGAAAAUAGAUUCGCAUGAGCUGUUUUUAGCAGGCUCCGCUGGGUGUUGUGCACAACACGUUUUGGGAUUAUUUUCGUUGUUGGGGAUUUUUUUCUCCCUCCGUUCCCUCUCUUUUUCUCCUCCUUUCCAACGUUUCUUGCCCAGGCUUGGGCUUUUGUCACCGAGCCCUGCCUUGAACAACUCUUACAGCCUUCAGCUUGUCAGCUCCCGAGCCGCCAGGCCAGGGGAACAACGAUCUGCGGCGCCCCCCGACCUCCACGCGCCGCGGGAGCGACGCCCGCUGCCGUCCCGGUGCCCCCUCCACGGCCUCUGCCUCCUGCCGCCCGCUGGGCAGGCCGCUGCUGCCGCCUCGGGAGGGAAGCAGGUGGCGAGAGGUUGUUCUCCCAAGACCUACUUACGUCCCUUGGCAGCGUCUCUGACAAGCACGCCGCUCGCCCUGCGCUUCGCACGUCCCCUGCGUGGGGACAGCGUGGUCCCCUCGGGGUGGUCUCAGGCACCUGCCCCGGGAUCGUUGUCACCGCGGCACGAGGACACCAUGGCUCACGGACACCGUGGCACAAAGACACCGUGGCACGAGGACACCACGGCACGAGGACGCCACGGCAGCUUCAGCCGCGGUGUGCCCCCCAUCGCCUCCUUCCCCACGGCGUCCGGUUGCAGAGGGUGCUUCUGACCCCGCGGGCGCCUUUGGCAUCCUCCAAAAAAAAAUAAAAGCAAAGCAGAGGCGCGAGGUGCUGCCUGACCGAGAGCCCGGCACAGCUGCGGGAACCCGAUCCUGCCUGCGGCAAAAGGCCGCCAGCGCUUCUAGGAGCCCCCAGGGCUGGGCAACUUGUAGCAGCAGCUUCGAGUCUGGGCCGGGCUUUUGCCUUGUCUCGGAGCGAGCAGCGUAACCAGGUCGCGGUUUGUCCUUGUGAAGGAGCCCUGUUCGCGCCGUGCAGCCCCUCGGGGCUUUGCGUGCUGCCGUGUGCGGUGGGGCCGCGGCUCGCAGGCACCGCGCCGCCCAGGCUGAGCGUUACGGGGCCGGCCGCCUGCUCUCCCCCACUCGCCCUCCUCACACCCAAGCGCUCGCCGAGGCUCCCUCCUGCGUCUCCGUCCCCGCAAGCUCUUGUAGCCCCCGUGCCCAGCCGAGGGAAUCGAGAGGCAG